rnacentral:rRNA from 1 species
UACAACUUUCAGCAAUGGAUGUCUUGGAUCCCACAACGAUGAAGAACGCAGCAAAAUGUGAUACGUAUUGCGAAUUGCAGGACCUCGUGAAUCAUCAAAAUUUUGAACGCACAUUGCGCU